rnacentral:rRNA from 1 species
UACUGUGAAACUGCGAAUGGCUCAUUAAAUCAGUUAUAGUUUAUUUGAUGGUACAUUGCUACAUGGAUAACUGUGGUAAUUCUAGAGCUAAUACAUGCAAUCAAGCCCCGACUUCCGGAAGGGGUGUAUUUAUUAGAUAAAAAACCAACGCGGUUCGCCGCUCCAUUGGUGAUUCAUAAUAACUUCUCGAAUCGCAUGGCCUUGCGCCGGCGAUGCUUCAUUCAAAUAUCUGCCCUAUCAACUUUCGAUGGUAGGAUAGUGGCCUACCAUGGUUUCAACGGGUAACGGGGAAUAAGGGUUCGAUUCCGGAGAGGGAGCCUGAGAAACGGCUACCACAUCCAAGGAAGGCAGCAGGCGCGCAAAUUACCCAAUCCCGACACGGGGAGGUAGUGACAAUAAAUAACAAUAUAGGGCUCUUUUGGGUCUUAUAAUUGGAAUGAGUACAAUUUAAAUCCCUUAACGAGGAACAAUUGGAGGGCAAGUCUGGUGCCAGCAGCCGCGGUAAUUCCAGCUCCAAUAGCGUAUAUUAAAGUUGUUGCAGUUAAAAAGCUCGUAGUUGAACUUCAGACCUGGCCGGGCGGUCUACCUCGCGGUAUGUACUAUCUGGCCGGGUCUUACCUCUUGGUGAGCCGGUAUGCCCUUCACUGGGUGUGCCGGGGAACCAGGACCUUUACCUUGAGAAAAUUAGAGUGUUCAAAGCAGGCAUAUGCCCGAGCAUGGAAUAAUAAAAUAGGACGUGCGGUUCUAUUUUGUUGGUUUCUAGAGUCGCCGUAAUGAUUAAUAGGGAUAGUUGGGGGCAUUCGUAUUCAGUUGCUAGAGGUGAAAUUCUUGGAUUUACUGAAGACGAACUAUUGCGAAAGCAUUUGCCAAGGAUGUUUUCAUUAAUCAAGAACGAAGGUUAGGGGAUCGAAAACGAUCAGAUACCGUUGUAGUCUUAACAGUAAACUAUGCCGACUAGGGAUCGGGCGACCUCACUUAUAUGAGUCGCUCGGCACCUUACGAGAAAUCAAAGU